GGGUACGUAGUGUAGUGGUUUGAGCACUGUACCACUACUCUGGAGACCAGGUUUUGAAUCCCUGCUUGGCCA